rnacentral:rRNA from 1 species
UUGCACGCUGGCGGCAGGCCUAACACAUGCAAGUCGAACGGUAACAGGAAGAAGCUUGCUUCUUUGCUGACGAGUGGCGGACGGGUGAGUAAUGUCUGGGAAACUGCCUGAUGGAGGGGGAUAACUACUGGAAACGGUAGCUAAUACCGCAUAACGUCGCAAGACCAAAGAGGGGGACCUUCGGGCCUCUUGCCAUCGGAUGUGCCCAGAUGGGAUUAGCUAGUAGGUGGGGUAACGGCUCACCUAGGCGACGAUCCCUAGCUGGUCUGAGAGGAUGACCAGCCACACUGGAACUGAGACACGGUCCAGACUCCUACGGGAGGCAGCAGUGGGGAAUAUUGCACAAUGGGCGCAAGCCUGAUGCAGCCAUGCCGCGUGUAUGAAGAAGGCCUUCGGGUUGUAAAGUACUUUCAGCGGGGAGGAAGGGAGUAAAGUUAAUACCUUUGCUCAUUGACGUUGCCCGCAGAAGAAGCACCGGCUAACUCCGUG